ACAACACCCAACAGCAGCAAGCACAACUCCAAGCAAUGUCUCUCUGUCGCUCAAUGUGUCUCUGCUGCUGCUGCUGCUGCUGCUGUUGCUGCUGGGCCCCUUGGAGAUGUUUUCAUCAUGUGACGGCAUUGUUUUUGCCAUUCUGCACAUUCACAAAAUUGAUUUCAUUCACAACAUGCCACGUUUGCCUCAUUAAAUCAUC
rnacentral:lncRNA from 1 species